rnacentral:rRNA from 1 species
UGGGGAAUAUUGCACAAUGGGCGAAAGCCUGAUGCAGCAACGCCGCGUGAGUGAUGAAGGCCUUCGGGUUGUAAAGCUCUGUCUUUUGGGACGAUAAUGACGGUACCAAAGGAGGAAGCCACGGCUAACUACGUGCCAGCAGCCGCGGUAAUACGUAGGUGGCAAGCGUUGUCCGGAUUUACUGGGCGUAAAGGAUGCGUAGGCGGAUUUUUAAGUGAGAUGUGAAAACCCUAAGCUUAACUUGGGGACUGCAUUUCAUACUGGAAAUCUAGAGUGCGGGAGAGGAGAAUGGAAUUCCUAGUGUAGCGGUGAAAUGCGUAGAGAUUAGGAAGAACACCAGUGGCGAAGGCGAUUCUCUGGACCGUAACUGACGCUGAGGCAUGAAAGCGUGGGUAGCAAACAGGAUUAGAUACCCUGGUAGUCCACGCCGUAAACGAUGAGUACUAGGUGUAGGAGGUAUCGACCCCUUCUGUGCCGCAGUUAACACAAUAAGUACUCCGCCUGGGAAGUACGAUCGCAAGAUUAAAACUCAAAUGAUUGACGGGGGUCAUAGCUG